rnacentral:lncRNA from 1 species
GUCUCCAAUUUCCCAGAAGGACCGAACAACACAUUUUCACUCUGUGGACUAUAUUUUCAUUGGUGAACAAACCAUUAAACCAGUGCAUUGUGUCUCCAACAGAAAACAUCCCUCAACUUUAAUUUAUCUAACGCAUUCAAUUCAAUUGUCUUAUUCCAAUCCUUUCCCACACACCCUGCCUAGUGCCUAGCUAUUGUGCUCUCAACUUUCUUCACAUCAACAUAUCAAGCUUCUUCAUAGAUCUAGAUUCUAGACUACUCGUCACUGAUGGCUCCACAAGGCAGAAUCUACCCACUACAUGGAAUCCAAAGUUUCUAUUACUGUAGCUUUCUUUUUUUUUUUUCCCUCAUUGUUCUACUUCACAAAUCAGGUAAAAAAGUGCCCCCUUAACCUAUUUAAGUCGUGUGUUAGUUGAUCAUAUGUUUCUAUAUUGAGGAAUAUUACUAUUGAAGUUAGAAAUUCAUAAGCAGCUAGCCCUUGAUGAUUCGGAUGUCUGUGUGUGUUGAGCAUGAAGAUGCAAGUGUGGGGAUAAGUUUUUUCAUAAGUGCAUGAACUGCAGGCCUUGCAUUGCUACUGUGGUCGUUCCUAAUCACAAAAGGAAGUGUUUCAACUUCAAUGGAGACGAUGAUAGCUAUUACCUCCUUUCAUGGAAAUGCAGGAGUGGGGAUAAGUUGUUUCAACCAUAACUACGUACCCUAGCUACAAUUAAGUUCUAACACUAUAUAUGUAUAUCUAUAAUAUACAAGCUAGCUAGGAAAAGCAGAACCCUACUUCGGUUGGAGCUUCAUCUUUAUCCAUUAAUCUAUCAUAUUGUACAUGUUCUUAGCCUUGGGACCUUAUUAUAUAUGCCUCACUCUUAAUUUCUUAUAUCGAUGGCCACGUAAUUACAUUAAUGUGAUAGUUAAUGAGUUAACUUUUUUUAUGCGAUAGCUUUCUUGUGUAUCCUUUUCUAAUUUGAUCACGGAGUAUUGUGAACACCAUGCGUGGUGGAGAUGAUAAUGCAUCAUUCGAGGC